CCUCGCUGGAGGGAGUGGGGGGGGGUUGAAAUGAUUAAAUCCCACCCAAAAUCCAGCUCCCGCCGCUGCCACCCUGCAGGCCUGCAGCCCUGGUGCCGGGUGCAAGCUGGGAUGGCUCAGGAGCUGGGGCUGAGCUGGGGAGCCGGGGGAGGGCCAGCAGCUUUGGGUGGUUUACUUCAAGGCAGUGUUUUACACCGUCAAGGGGGAAAGGGAGGGGAAGGAAGCUAAAGUGGUGACUGAGGGGUUCGUUACCUCCUUGCAAAAGGCAAGCGGGUGACAGCGAGGGAGAGCCACAAAAGGAAAAGAUGGAGAGGAAGAGUCAGCAAAAGCAAUUCCAGGAAUGUGUGAAUAUUAAAUGACCUGGUGAAAUCUACAGGGUGUGAUGGCAGGGGCAAACCAAGAGCUUUUCUUCUCUGUAAGCCGCUGUGUGCCUGCUGAGCUGAGGCGGUGCUGCUCUGCAGUGUGAGAGCCCCACGCCCCCAUGCUGGAGCCCCAGUGCAGGCUGUUAGCAAACACAGAACCAGAUUCUUGGGGCUGUGAGAGCUAUGGGGCAUUGCUGCCAGGAAUAGGCCUACAACCCCCGUCCUGUCACGUGUGCCACUGUAGGGGAUGCCUUGCUGUCUGCUGUGACAUGCACAAGGCUUGCUGGCGUGGAUGUUCUAAUUCAAGAGCACCUGCAUCACCCAAAAUGGGAUGGAGCAGCACGCUGUCUGAUGGGUUUAUGUGAUUUGUGUGUUGGAGGAAAUACAGCCUGAGGUGUAAGUAAACUUACCUUGGCUUAUCUGUGUAGUCCAUUUAUAAGCACAGCAUGGGAAGGCAGGGAUUGAAAUAGAGAUGUGUGCAAGUUAAUACAGAAAUGACAUUCAGCAGACAUCUCAAUGCUCAGGUGCUUUUCGGGACAGUCAGCUGUGGGUGGGUGGCAGCAGGGAGCGGAGCUGCUCCUCCAGCACGCUGUCUGGUCCUGAGCAGCACAUGGCUGAUGAGUCACACGUGCCUCAUUUUCUGGGGCACUUCAUCCAGUUGGGACUUUCCAGAGCCAUCAGUCCUAUCAGUUCCCCCCUGAACAGGAUCUACCUUUUCUUCCCUGGUGUUUCUGCAGCAUGUCGGGUGCUACUCACCAUCCACAGGCUUCGGGUGCAUCAGGAUGAUGGGCAGCUCAACACCAACAUCACUGGAAGGAGAAGCACUUCCUUCAGUGAACCCACCCAAUGCUGCACAAUGCUGGCCCUAGCUCCGCACUGUGCUGGCACUGAGCACUGCGAGCAGCUCCCUCCUCACCUGGAAGUGAGAUCCCCCAGGAUGCUGUGGCCAUGGAGAGAAGGGAAAAAAAGUCAGCAAAGGAAGAGGAGAAGGGUGUUUUCAGCACAAAACCCUUUGACCUCGAAGUCCACACCGCAGGCCUGGGAGGAAACGUUGGGUUACAAAGAGGCUCUGAGCUGCACGACGUUCAGAUUUGUUCCCCUCCUUCCCCCACCACAUCCCUGCAGAUCCCAGCCCUGCUUCCAGCCGUCCAUCCCUUCCAACCUCUUCCCCACGAGAGAGAAACAGCCUGAGAGAAGGACAGGCUGGGACAGCAUCUGACCUUUCCCACAUCAUCCGGUCCCGGCUGGAGGGUGACCGAGCAGGGCAAGUUGGUGGCAAUCUGGGCAGAACAGAGACAGAGAGCAGACAGAGAGCGUGCCCAAGGGUGAUCCCCAUAGAGAUGCAUGGUUGGGAAGCACCGAGCAGCCCCUACCUCAAAGGUGAAGGGGUAGGCGUUCUCGCCGAGCUUCUUCAGCAGCUUCUCCUGCAGAGAGGUGAGGGUUUUGGGCACCUGCUCAGGCACCGGUGGGAAGAUCUGCGUGGUCAGGACGUAGAGGUCCUUCCUGAAGGUCAGUCCAAUGACAUCCAGGUCGUCUCGGCCGUAGCGAAAGGCGCACGUGAGCGUCACAUACACUGGGAGCAGUGAGAACGGGGGGGUGCCGGGAGGGCAAGGCACAGGGGAAGGGUUGGGAAAGGAGGAAAGAAAGACAAGCUGUGUUUGUCACUCGUUGGCAUUAAAAGCAGAUCUCAGACGCCAAGAGUGAAGUUAACGAGAUUCAUCGCAUCUCUUCAAGGCAUGGCUGCCUGCAGGGGGAUUGUCCCUGCCCUGUGUAACAUGGGUUUUUGUGCCUUAAUACCUUUUCUGUCCUUCAGGUACUCCGGGUCGAUGAGGCAGACGCCAUCUGCAAAUAACAGGAGAGAGGGGGUGGUGAACUGGGCGUGCUGGAAGGUCCUGGUGAGAGUACUGCAUUCUAAAGUCAAAAUGCUCAGCCAGGAGGAGGCCAGGAGAGCUGCCUCCAGGGGACCUGCCUGCAUGGGGAUGGUGACACCUCCUUCAGCAUCUCCCCUCACAGGGCUCAAUUGCAAAGGAAUUUUGCUUUAUAAGUAUUGCUUUAAAGAUAUUUGUAGGAAAAUGGGAUGUUUGCUCCUCUGGAGUUGCCCUCACACUUCCCUCCCCACAGAGCCACGUUUGAGGCCACUCACUGCCCCCCACACCCCGGGGACCCCACUCACCCACGGCAUCCACCGACUCCACGUGAUCCACAAAGUCCCUCUUCCCCAGGUAGAUGGACAGCUGGAGGAGCCCAUGGCAAAUGGAAACAACACGUCAGGAAAAGCACACAGACGGUGGUGAGGCUGGGGGCAGCGCUGCCCUCUCCCCAGAGAGGAGCAUCCCCAGGAGCUGUGCCCAGGCAGGCAGUCAGGUGCCACACAGACAGGAACCUGCAUGGAGAGAUGGGGGAAAUGCUGGAGGUGGGAACAGGACACCCAUUGGCCAUCACCAGCAAUGGGGACUCAAUGGUUCGUGCACCACUGCUCUGCAGAGCCCUUGGCAAUGGCCCUCCUGGGGGUUGGCACUGUGAGCAGCACGGCUGGAGGCUCAGCAGGGCUCAGAUGCUCUAUGUGCAUCCAGGGCUGCCGUGCCUCCUCGGGACUUUGCGGGGUUGGGGGUACAACCCAGUGGUGGAGCUGCUGGAGACUGCAGCUGCUGGAAAUUUGCUGCCAUCACCCACCAGGAGGAAUGCGCUCAUUGUCCUCACUCACAGGAGAGUGAGGAAACCAUGGGCAGGGGAGCCCAGAGCCAUUCAGAGCCCCAUCCCACACUCACUGACAACCCCAGAGCCGACAGUGGGACAGGACGGAGCUCCCCUCGGGGGCUGCUGCCUUUUGCUUGCUCAGCCCCAGCAUCCAGAAUUAAAGUGCAAAUAUCUC